rnacentral:rRNA from 1 species
CCUACGGGUGACAGCAGUGAGGAAUAUUGGUCAAUGGGCGGGAGCCUGAACCAGCCAAGUCGCGUGAGGGAAGAAGGUACUGAGGAUUGUAAACUUCUUUUGCAAGGGGACAAAGGCGGCCACGGGUGGCCGUAAGAGGGUACCUGGAGACAAAGCAUCGGCUAACUCCGUGCCAGCAGCCGCGGUAAUACGGAGGAUGCGAGCGUUAUCCGGAUUUAUUGGGUUUAAAGGGGGCGUAGGCUGUGUGGUAAGUCAGCGGUGAAAGGCCUGCGCUCAACGGGGUGAAGUGCCAUUGAUACUGCCUUGCUUGAAUGCGGAUGACGUGGGAGGAAUGUGUGGUGUAGCGGUGAAAUGCAUAGAUAUCACACAGAACACCGAUUGCGAAGGCAUCUCACGAAUCCGCGAUUGACGCUGAUGCACGAAAGCGUGGGUAUCAAACAGGAUUAGAUACCCUAGUAGUC